UACGUAGGGUGCGAGCGUUGUCCGGAAUUAUUGGGCGUAAAGAGCUCGUAGGCGGCUUGUCGCGUCGGAUGUGAAAGCCCGGGGCUUAACCCCGGGUCUGCAUUCGAUACGGGCAGGCUAGAGUGUGGUAGGGGAGAUCGGAAUUCCUGGUGUAGCGGUGAAAUGCGCAGAUAUCGGGAGGAACACCAGUAGCGAAGGCGGCACUCUGGGCCGGAACUGACGCUGAGGAGCGAAAGCGUGGGGAGCGAACAGG
rnacentral:rRNA from 1 species